AAGAAAAGCUGUAUCGAUUGUUGAGAUCUGGCGACUUGUUUAAAUUUCAUCAGCCUCACUUCUAUGAACUCUCAGAGCUGAUUACCAACUCCUACCACUGUUAACCCUCAUCCAGGAACAAGCUUAUGUCUUUAACAUUCUGAGUGGGCUUCAGCAUCCUUGCAUAUGUUCAAUUCUUAAAAACCUGUUGAAAUAAAAGAUCAGGAGACAUAGGAAGGAUGCCAGAAGAGAGCGUGGCCUCACGUGUACCAGCUCUCUGCUCUCCUUUGCCUUGGGACGUUCCAUCCCUGGAAGUUUCCCUGCCCACAUCUUUGUAGAGAGUCCAUUCUCCAAGCUUCAGUGUGUCAUCUGUGAGGACCGUGACCCACCUGGUACAUCGCCUCAGGGCAUUCAUUUCAGGCUCCUUCUAAAUGGCCAAGAUCUUGCUUUCUUUUGUAUGUUUGCAAAGAAUAUAUAGUACACUUCCUUGAUCUGUGGUUCCUAAAGUGUGAUUCCCAACAAGCAGCAUCAGGAUCAUCUGGAAACUUGAUAGAAAUGUAAAUUCUACAGUCCCUCCUUGGAGCUACAGAUUCAGAAAUUCUGAAGUUUAAGUCCAGCAGUUGGUUAUAAUAAGCUCUCUAGGUGAUUCUGACUUGCACCAAGGCACCCUUGGAAAUGCAAUGCUACAUCUCAAUGGGAUUUUCCAGUACAAAGAUUCUUUUCAAAUAACAUAAUUGUGGAUACACACCACUCCUACAGUGGUAAACCUCAGGUUCUCCUCCUGCCUUUUGCUAAGUAUAUGUCUUGAUGACAAGCCUUCUGCUGAUGAGCUGUGUUUCUGGACCGAUCAUGGUAGAAGUCAAUUAACGUGUCCCUCACUUGGGGUUUCUCAAGG
rnacentral:lncRNA from 1 species